UUACGCUGUUAUCCCUAAGGUAACUUUUUCUUUUGAUCAAAAAGUUUUGGGUCUAUUUGUUUUAAUACAUUUUAACUAUCCCCUGCUUUAAAAAAGGGGAGGUUGCCCCAACCAAACCUAGGUAAAGCUCUAUAGGGUCUUCUCGUCCCACUGUAUAAUUAAGGUCUCUUCACCUUAAGGUUAAUUUCAAAUUAUAUAAGGGGAGACAGCUUCUCUGUCGUCUAGCCGUUGAUACUAGCCUGCAAUUAACAGGCGAAUGAUUAUGCUACCUUUGCACAGUCAGUAAUACUGCAGCCGUUUAACUAUUGUCACCG
rnacentral:rRNA from 1 species